GUUUUCUGAGGUGAUAAUAUUGCCUAUGACCAGGACCCCAAAUUUUAUGUUCUCAAAGAAGAUGAGUCUCCAUGUAUCUUAGGCCCAACUGAGAAAAAAAGAUGGGCCAACGCCUGUGCAAAGCAAUUGAUUGAAAGGCUAAUAUAUGCUGAGAGUGCUAAGUUUGGCCUUGAGUUUACCAUUGUAAGGCCUUUCAAUUGGAUCGGUCCAAGAAUUGACUAUAUUCCUGGCAUUGAUGGCGAACGUCGGGGAGUCCCAAGGGUUUUUGCUUGCUUCAGUAGUGUAAUUCAAGCUUCUUCAGUCCUGUUGUUUUGUUAUGCUUAUACGUUUGUUGCUGAUGCUGUUUGCUGAUGCUCUCUUAUUUCAGAAUCUCUUGCGUGGAGAGUCACUAGAACUUGUUGAAGGUGGACACUCCAAAAGAACUUUUUGCUAUAUCAAGGAUGCAAUUGAGGCUCUUCUUCUAAUGAUUGAAAACCCCGAGAAGGCAAAUGGGCAUUCUUUCAAUGUGGGCAAUCCAAACAAUGAGGUUUCAGUGAAAGAGCUGGCAAACCUGAUGAUAGAGGUAUGCUGGAAGCAACCUGCCUACUUUUCGGCUUAAUCCCACUUGCUAAUGAGUAUAAUUUGUCUAUGAAGGUGUAUGCAAAUGUUUCUGGUCAGCCUGCCUCUAACUUUUCAACAGUUGAUGUGAGCUCAGACGAUUUCUAUGGCAUAGGCUAUGAUGACUGUGAUAGGCGCAUCCCUGACAUGACUCUUAUUCACAGGCAACUUGGCUGGAUUCCAAUGACUUCUCUUCAAGAAAUCCUGGAAGUUACACUAAGAUAUCAGCAUGAAACAUAUUCCGAGGCAGUCAAGCACGCAACUUCAGAAUCUUAAGUCCUUUCUCGCUUCAUACAGAAAAUCCAUUCUUUUUCAUACAAAAAUUACACUGUUAAAACAGGCAUUUGUAUGAAAUACAAUCACUGUAUCUAUGUUGUAUAUGAAACUUGACAGAUAAAAAGUGAUGUUCAUAGGCAAUGAUUUUUCU
rnacentral:misc_RNA from 1 species